rfam:Candidatus Levybacteria bacterium RIFCSPLOWO2_01_FTLL_38_21 rifcsplowo2_01_scaffold_15810, whole genome shotgun sequence.
AAGGGUACGCGAGCUGGGUUAAGAACGUCGUAAGACAGUUCGGACUCUAUCCAGGACAACCGUUUGAGAUUUAAGGAGAACCGUCCCUAGUACGAGAGGACUGGGAUGGGGGAAUCCCUGGUGUGCCAGUUGUUCCAAAAAGGAGCACCGCUGGGUAGCUAGAUUCCCAACUGAUAACCGCUGAAAGCAUCUAAGUGGGAAGCAGCCUCCAAGAUAAGAUCUCAUAGUCCGGAGAUCAGAGCUCGGAAUUCGGAUUUCGGAAUUAAUUUUCUGAUUUCUGACUUCUGAUAUCCGAUCUCCGGACAUAGACCCCUUGUAGACCACAAGGUUGAUAGGCGGGCGGUGGAAGUACCGUAAGGUAUUAAGCCUACCCGUACUAAUGGUCGAUUAGAGUAACUAA